rnacentral:rRNA from 1 species
CCUACGGGAGGCAGCAGUGAGGAAUAUUGGUCAAUGGCCGGAAGGCUGAACCAGCCAUGCCGCGUGAAGGUCAGUGCCCUAUGGGCGUUAAACUUCUUUUGUGCGGGAGCAAUAAUGGUCACGUGUGGCCAGACGAGAGUACCGUACGAAUAAGCAUCGGCUAACUCCGUUCCAGCAGCCGCGGUAAUACGGGGGAUGCAAGCGUUAUCCGGAUUUAUUGGGUUUAAAGGGUGCGUAGGCUGUGAGGUAAGUCAGCGGUGAAAUGCCCCCGCUCAACGGGGUGAAGUGCCAUUGAUACUGCCUGGCUGGAAUGCGGAUGACGUGGGAGGAAUGUGUGGUGUAGCGGUGAAAUGCAUAGAUAUCACACAGAACACCGAUUGCGAAGGCAUCUCACGAAUCCGCGAUUGACGCUGAUGCACGAAAGCGUGGGUAUCAAACAGGAUUAGAUACCCGUGUAGUC